GCAAACUUGGUCAUUUAGAGGAAGUAAAAGUCGUAACAAGGUUUCCGUAGGUGAACCUGCGGAAGGAUCAUUAAAAAAUCUUGAAUGAGCCGCAAGGCUCUGAUCUUUUGUGAAAUGUAUGUCGUUGUUGCCGGCUGUUGUGGGUGGGAUGUAGGGCUGUUGGGUACCAUCGAGUGCCCUGGCCCUCCCUCCUGCGGUUGGCAAUGAUGAAUAUAUUGUAUUAACACAUGUGUUUUUGAUGUUGGGGAAGGUGUUGCGUGCAAUACACUAACCUGUGUGUGCGCAUGAUGUAUGUAAUAUAUGUACAACUUUCAACAGUGGAUCUCUCGGCUCUUGCAUCGAUGAAGAACGCAGC
rnacentral:misc_RNA from 1 species